AAUGCAUCGCCGGGAAUUGAACCCGGGCUGCCCGCAUGGCAGGCGAGCAUUCUACCACUGAACCACCGAUGGU
rnacentral:tRNA from 1 species